AUAUCAAUAAGCGGAGGAAAAGAAACUAACAAGGAUUCCCCUAGUAACGGCGAGUGAAGCGGGAAAAGCUCAAAUUUAAAAUCUGCAGCCUCCGGGUUGUCGAAUUGUAGUCUAGAGAGGCAUUUUCGGAACCAGCCCCGGUCUAAGUUUCCUUGGAACAGGGCAUCACAGAGGGUGAGAAUCCCGUAGACGGCUGGGACGCUGGUUCCUUACGUAAUGUUCUCAACGAGUCGAGUUGUUUGGGAUUGCAGCUCCAAAUGGGUGGUAAAUUUCAUCUAAAGCUAAAUAUUGGCGAGAGACCGAUAGCGCACAAGUA
rnacentral:rRNA from 1 species